CGGAAGGGGCUAGCGUUGUUCGGAAUUACUGGGGCGUAAAGCGCGCGUAGGCGGCUUGGCGAGUGAGGCGUGAAAGUCCUGGGCUCAACCCGGGGACGGCGCUUCAGACUGCUUGGCUUGAGUCCGGAAGAGGGUGGUGGAAUUCCGAGUGUAGAGGUGAAAUUCGUAGAUAUUCGGAGGAACACCGGUGGCGAAGGCGGCCACCUGGUCCGGAACUGACGCUGAAGUGCGAAAGCGUGGGGAGCAAACAGGAUU
rnacentral:rRNA from 1 species